GACAUAGGUCUCGAACGUUAUCCGGAAUUAUUGGGCGUAAAGGGUGCGUAGAUGGCAUAACAAGUUAUUUGUGAAAAUGGAGCCUAACUUCGUGGCAGCAGAUAAUACUAUUAAGCUAGAGAAAAGAAGGGGUUAACGGGACUCCAUGUGGAGCGGUAAAAUGUGUCGAUAUAUGGAAGAACACCGAAUAAAGCGAAGGCAGUUAACUAUUCUAUUUCUGACAUUGAGGUACGAAAGCGUGGGGAGCAAAACGG
rnacentral:rRNA from 1 species